AUAUAUACAUAUAUAUAUAUGUGUGUGUGUGUGUGUGUAUGUAUACAUACACACACACAUAUACACGAACACAUACAUGCAUACAUAUGUAC
rnacentral:miRNA from 14 species